GACGAACGCUGGCGGCGCGCUUAACACAUGCAAGUCGAACGGAAAGGCCUGCUUUCCCUUGUGGAUUGCGGGUACUCGAGUGGCGAACGGGUGAGUAACACGUGAGUGAUCUGCCCCCAACUUGGGUAUAAGCCUGGGAAACUGGGUCUAAUUCCCGAUAGGACUGCAGGGUGGUGCCUGUGGUGGAAAACGAUUUUCUAGUGGUUGGGGAUGAGCUCGCGGCCUAUCAGCUUGUUGGUGGGGUAAUGGCCUACCAAGGCGGCGACGGGUAGCCGGCCUGAGAGGGUGGACGGCCACAUUGGGACUGAGAUACGGCCCAGACUCCUACGGGAGGCAGCAGUGGGGAAUAUUGCACAAUGGGCGGAAGCCUGAUGCAGCGACGCCGCGCGGGGGAUGACGGCCUUCGGGUUGUAAACUCCUUUCGACCGCGAGGAAGCCACCUGGUUGGAAGGGUGGUGACGGUAGUGGUAGAAGAAGCACCGGCUAACUACGUG
rnacentral:rRNA from 1 species